rnacentral:sRNA from 12 species
AGCCUAAACCGUAGCUAUUAGCUAUGGCAUGGCACCAAAACAGUUCAACCCAGAAAGCUCCUAGUCAGAGCUCAGGUUGAACUGUCAUAUCUCGAAAGGGAUAUGGGUGUCGCAAGACAUC